rnacentral:misc_RNA from 1 species
GAUGAAGAACGCAGCGAAAUGCGAUAAGUAAUGUGAAUUGCAGAAUUCAGUGAAUCAUCGAAUCUUUGAACGCACAUUGCGCCCCCUGGUAUUCCGGGGGGCAUGCCUGUUCGAGCGUCAUUUCACCACUCAAGCCUCGCUUGGUAUUGGGCAACGCGGUCCGCCGCGUGCCUCAAAUCGACCGGCUGGGUCUUCUGUCCCCUAAGCGUUGUGGAAACUAUUCGCUAAAGGGUGUUCGGGAGGCUACGCCGUAAAACAACCCCAUUUCUGAGGUUGACCUCGGAUCAGGUAGGGAUACCCGCUGAACUUAAGCAUAUCAAUAAGCGGAGGA